GAUGAACGCUGGCGGCGCGCCUAACACAUGCAAGUCGAACGGCACCCCUCCUCGGAGGGCAGCGAGUGGCGAACGGCUGAGUAACACGUGGAGAACCUGCCCCCUCCCCCGGGAUAGCCGCCCGAAAGGACGGGUAAUACCGGAUACCCCGGGGUGCCGCAUGGCACCCCGGCUAAAGCCCCGACGGGAGGGGAUGGCUCCGCGGCCCAUCAGGUAGACGGCGGGGUGACGGCCCUCCGUGCCGACAACGGGUAGCCGGGUUGAGAGACCGACCGGCCAGAUUGGGACUGAGACACGGCCCAGACUCCUACGGGAGGCAGCAGUGGGGAAUCUUGCGCAAUGGGGGGAACCCUGACGCAGCGACGCCGCGUGCGGGACGGAGGCCUUCGGGUCGUAAACCGCUUUCAGCAGGGAAGAGUCAAGACUGUACCUGCAGAAGAAGCCCCGGCUAACUACGUG
rnacentral:rRNA from 1 species